rnacentral:rRNA from 1 species
GACGAACGCUGGCGGCGUGCUUAACACAUGCAAGUCGAGCGGUAAGGCCCUUUCGGGGGUACGACGAGCGGCGAACGGGUGAGUAACACGUGGGUGACCUGCCCUCAGCUCUGGGAUAAGCCUCGGGAAACCGGGUCUAAUACUGGAUAUGACUCCAUGACGCAUGUUGUGGGGUGGAAAGCCUUGUGCGGCUGAGGAUGGGCCCGCGGCCUAUCAGCUUGUUGGUGGGGUGANGGCCUACCAAGGCGACGACGGGUAGCCGGCCUGAGAGGGCGACCGGCCACACUGGGACUGAGACACGGCCCAGACUCCUACGGGA